rnacentral:rRNA from 1 species
UACGGAGGGUGCGAGCGUUGUUCGGAUUCACUGGGCGUAAAGGGUGCGUAGGCGGUCGGGUAAGUCUGGCGUGAAAUCUCCAAGCCUAACUUGGAAACUGCGUUGGAUACUAUCCGGCUCGAGGAAUGGAGGGGAGACUGGAAUACUUGGUGUAGCAGUGAAAUGCGUAGAUAUCAAGUGGAACACCAGUGGCGAAGGCGAGUCUCUGGACAUUUCCUGACGCUGAGGCACGAAAGCCAGGGGAGCAAACGGG